GGAAGUCUAAGAAGAAAUCAUCAGAUCAUGCACCCAAGAAGAGAGGUUUGAAUUCCAACCAUGGCAACAUUGAAGUUUGCUCUGUUAGUAUUGGCGUGCAGACUGAAGACUGGUGUGUUGAUUGCGGCCACACAAAUCAUCACCGCUGCAGUGGUCCUGAGGCAUCUCCCUUGACCACCUCGCUGGAUCAUGCCUACUGUGCACUGUCAGAGCAAAAGGAAGAGGUUCACUCCACACCUGAUAUUGAUAUUUCCGAUAUAUCUCAGGAUUCUGAAUCAUUUGACAGUGUUGUUGAUGAUUUGAAUAAAUCAACAGUUCUGAGCGAAUCAUUUUCUUUGCAUG